rnacentral:lncRNA from 1 species
AAAUAAUAAACACCGCACAUAGUGCAUGCACUCAAAAAUAAACCCAACAAGCAAAAGUACAUCUCUCACACACACAUGUACACACGCACGUACGUACAUACGCUAAGAUGCAAGCGUAUCACAGCGUACACGACGACACGUACGUACAUACGGAGAGAUUUUUAUUCAGUAGUACGACGUAGCAGUAGUAGACAACUCAUCAUCUCAUCAUAUCAGGCGUAGAUAGAUACUCAUCCAUGGUCGAUGCUCCGGCGCCGAUCGACGACGACGGCGGCGGCGGCGGAAUGGAUCAUCGAUCGAUCGAUCAUCGUUUAGGUUUAGUUCACCCUGCAUGAUCAUGCAUGCAUGGAAGACGAAGCACAAGUUAAUUAAACGACUUGAUAUUCAAGUUGAAUCAGACCAUGCAUGCAUGCAAAGUUGCAAACAACUUGUAGUGAUUGGAUCAUUCAUUCAGAUCAUCACUUAAUUACCUGGAGCAGUCGGUGGAGGUGCUGAUGGUGUAGGGGACGCUGACGCCGCACUUGGAGGGGAUGCUGGCGGCGUUGCCGGCGUUGAGGCCGCUGAUGCCACGGGCGGCGUUCUUGAG